rnacentral:misc_RNA from 1 species
GUUUCCACUGCCAAUAAAACAAAAGAAAUAUAAGAAACUGAGCCGCAGUUUAACAAACAGAUAAAAGUGAUUCAACCCAAACAGAUGACAAUCCUAUGGGAAAAUGACAUAAGCUUAUCGUGCCAUAAUAUAUUGUGGAAAUGAUGCAGGUAUAUCAUCCAAUAACAUAUACUUACAAAACAUGAAAAUUUAACCUCAAGCCAUGUUAAGAGAAUCCAAGAAAGGGAAUAACCAAAAUUACAAUCUUU